AUUGAACGCUGGCGGCAUGCUUUACACAUGCAAGUCGAACGGCAGCACGGACUUCGGUCUGGUGGCGAGUGGCGAACGGGUGAGUAAUACAUCGGAACGUGCCCAGUUGUGGGGGAUAACUACUCGAAAGAGUAGCUAAUACCGCAUGAGAACUGAGGUUGAAAGCAGGGGAUCGUAAGACCUUGCGCAACUGGAGCGGCCGAUGGCAGAUUAGGUAGUUGGUGGGAUAAAAGCUUACCAAGCCGACGAUCUGUAGCUGGUCUGAGAGGACGACCAGCCACACUGGGACUGAGACACGGCCCAGACUCCUACGGGAGGCAGCAGUGGGGAAUUUUGGACAAUGGGCGAAAGCCUGAUCCAGCAAUGCCGCGUGCAGGAUGAAGGCCUUCGGGUUGUAAACUGCUUUUGUACGGGACGAAAAGCUUCGGGUUAAUACCCUUGAUGAGUGGACGUUACUCGCAGAAUAAGCACCGGCUAACUCUGUGCCAGCCGCCGCGGUAAGAC
rnacentral:rRNA from 1 species